UAGUUUUUGGCCCUCCAUGGCACUGUAUGCUGCACUUCACUCUGUGCACCGCCUGGCUGUCUCACUGGAGUCCUGCUGUCUUUUUUCCACCAGUGCAUCCCUGCUGCACGGAACACAGUGGGAGGAAGAUUUAAUGGGAAAGGAAUGAAUGAACUGGAAAGGAACCCAGGCUGAGAGACUAACGUGAAUACGCUCAAUGUCCAGGAGAAAACUAGGGUCUGUCCUGAGCAAAGUUGGUGAGUGAGCGCCAUUUACCUUCCCUGAGCCCCCCAACCUUCUGUGCACAAUUCUAUGUCCUAUACCUUUGCCUUUGCAAUCUAACAUUCUUCCUUGUCUUUUUUUUUUUUUUUUUUUUUUUUUCUGUUAGAGUCAGGGUCUCUUGUUCCGUCACCAAGGCUGGAGUGCAGUGGCACAAUCAUGGCUUACUGCAGCCUCAUACUCCUGGGCUCAAGCGAUCCUCUUGCCUCAGCCUCCCAAGUUGAGGACUACAGGCAUGAGCCACUGCAUCUGGCACCUUUCUUGUCUUAAUACUGUUCUAGUCCAUCCAAAACAACAACAACAACAGCAACAACAUUUCAAUCAAAGAAACAUACAAUACUGCCUCCCCACCUCCUGCAAUAAAACAAGUGCUGACACCCACCUUCCACAAAAGAGGAGAAAGGGACCCUUUCACCCGACAUGAGGGUUUCUUUCACUUUUUUCUUUCUUUUUUUUUUUUUUUGGUGGGGUGACAGGCUCUCACUCUGUCGCCCAGGCUGGAGUGCAGUGGUAAAAUCACAGCUCACUGUAGCCUCAACCUUCUGGGUCAAGCGAUCCUCCCUGAGCCUCGGCCUCCUGAGUAGCCAGGACUGCAGGAGCACACCACCACCAUUCAUUAGCGGCCCUGCCUGACUAAUUUUUUUAUUUUUUAUAGAGAUAUGGUCUCAUUAUGUUGCUCAGGCUGAACUCAAACUCCUGGAUUCAAGCAAUCCACUCGCCUCAGCCUCCCAAAGUGCUGGGAUUAUAGGUAUGAGUCACCGCGCCUGGCCUAUUUCACAUAGUUCUCGCCCUUAGUCCUAUGCUGCCCUGUCUACCUUGGGGCAGAAUUUUUCCAUCUGCCCCAAGCGCUGUAUUCUUAUAACCAUCCUGUCUCUUUAUUUAUUGUAUGUCCUGGAUGCCAGCGAGGCCCCCCUCUACACACACACUCAAGAAGGUUAAGGCAAGAGGAAGAAACAAAAAGAGGGACAAUUUACUGCCCUUUACAUAGCACUUUGUCAUAACAAUACCCUUCCAAAGCCCUCACUGAACGGUGAGAACAAUCCAAUGAAGUAGGUUUUGUUAUGUCUGUUUUUACAGAAAAGGACACUGAGGCUCAAAGACUUUGUAGGUCAUUCACCUCGUAAGUAGAAGAGCCAGAAUGGGAAUCCAU
rnacentral:lncRNA from 10 species